rnacentral:sRNA from 1 species
UCAAUGGGCAUUGGAAUUAUUAAUUGGCACUCGACAGUCACACCACCUCAUACUGGAUUUCCUCCAUUCGGGGCGAGGAAUUUAUCGCCAUUCGAGAGAGGCGGAAGAUCUUCUAUCUGAGCUCCGCUUCCCCGGCUUUCAUGUCUUCGUCCUGGGCAGGAUCCACACUUAACAUUAUGAAAUUUCAAUAAUAUGGCAGGAUAGAAGAAUUCUAAGUAGGCGAAGUCUCGCGGCACGGAGACAUCAAAAACCCUAUGAGUACUGGUUGCUGUGCAUGGGAAGAUGGCACGAGGUCAACAUCGGCCGGCAAGUUGA